rnacentral:rRNA from 1 species
CCCUAGAUGUUCUGGGCCGCACGCGCGCUACACUGACGAAUGCAACGAGCUUAUAACCUUGGCCGAAAGGUCUGGGUAAUCUCCAAAUUUCGUCGUGAUGGGGAUAGAUUAUUGCAAUUAUUAAUCUUCAACGAGGAAUGCCUAGUAAGCGCAAGUCAUCAGCUUGCGUUGAUUACGUCCCUGCCCUUUGUACACACCGCCCGUCGCUCCUACCGAUUGAAUGGUCCGGUGAAGCGUUCGGACCGUGGCCUUUGGACGGUUCGCCGUCUGUUGGCUGCGGGAAGUUCGUUAACCCUUNUNAUUUAGNGGAAGGAGAANUCGUANCA